rnacentral:rRNA from 1 species
AGAUUGAGCGCUGGCGGCAGGCCUAACACAUGCAAGUCGAGCGGUAGAGAGGUGCUUGCACCUCUUGAGAGCGGCGGACGGGUGAGUAAUGCCUAGGAAUCUGCCUAGUGGUGGGGGAUAACGUUCGGAAACGGACGCUAAUACCGCAUACGUCCUACGGGAGAAAGCGGGGGACCUUCGGGCCUCGCGCCAUUAGAUGAGCCGUAGGUCGGAUUAGCUAGGUUGGUGA